ensembl:lncRNA
CAUGAGCUCAUUAAAGUGCACGAACCCUCUGUUGGGCUUUUUACUGCAUGAAAACAAUUGAUUACUUAAAAAACGGUCCCACCCUUUCCUAAAAGCACACGAGUGUGUAUAUAGGCUGCUACCAACAGCUCACAUACACCCUGAAUAGGAAGCACAUCUCUCUGACGGACACAAUCUUUUUUUUGAAGGAGGAUAUCGCUUGCUGGACUUACAGAAGUGCAACAAGAUCGGUCAUUGUUAUCUGUGGAGAAACAUGGGAAACGAGAACUCCAAGAACAAAGAACUGCAGAACAGGAACGGCAGGAUUCCUGAGAAGCAUAUAAAUGGAUCAGCGAACGGCCUCUCUGCGAACCUCUCAUCUAACGGCUUGGAGAUUUCUGCUAACGGUGAGGCCGCAGUCCAGAAGAAUGGCGAGUCCUCUUCUUUAAAGCGUGCGACUGAACCAAAUGAUUUUGUCGUUGUGGAAUUAGACGGUAAAGCUGCUGACGCUCCAGUUAUUUCUGAAAUCCUUGAAAUCGUCAUCCACAAGGAAGAGGUCAGGGAAAGUGAAGGAGAUCAAACGGAUGUUAGUCUCCCUGCCACCAAUCUACAGACGGAGUCAACCUCAAGUGGAGAAGAAGCAGCCGCAGCGAUGAUCGCUGUGCACCUAGACAGCGUAGAGUGUCCGCUUCGAAAAGCUGAAACAUCAACACAAACAGACGGGACAACUGAGGCAGAUAUCUCGACACAAACGUAUAAGAACGAGGAAGUCGCAACCACCGAUAACGAGGUUCCUGUUGAAGAAGCAGUCUCCAUGGAGACUGGAUCAACUGAAGAAGACCCUCUAAAUGUGUCGGCCCGCGUCAUUGUUCAGGAUGACGGGGAGUCCUCCGACAACCAGGCCGCUCGGACCAUCAAUGAGGGGGUGGUCAUGUAUGAAAAUAUGGUGUUCAGACUGGAACGGGCAGAACUUGAUGGAACUGAGUCAAACAUCACUGCAGAACCAGGUUUUAACCCAAAAGUAUCCGAGAUUGAAGAGGAAACAGUUGCAGAGGAAAAUAACAUUGGAGAAACAUCGGCAUCGGAGGUCUAUUACAGCUUUCCUAAAGUGGUGGCAGAUUGUGUUGAGGUGGUUUUUGCGGAUGCGCCUCAGUCCACCGGCUUUGCUGCUGUGGACUCGUCAGUGCUUGCAGACGGAGUAGCUACUGGAGACAAUGGCGAAGGAGCUGGACACACGUCAGUCGAUGCCGUGCAGACUGAAACCGCCAAACAUCAGUCCACUGAGGCCCGGAAAGCAAAUGCCGUUCGUUCCUCAGCCACCGCGCUGAUGGAGACAAUCUCUGAGGUUGUUUGCGAGGCACCUGAUCCCGCACCAGCAGACCACGAUGCGCCCGCAGAGCAUUCUUCUGCCCGUCUUGCAGUAGCACUUCUAGUUAAGGCAGAAUCUGCCCAUGAGGAGGUCACCGCUGAUGAUGCUGUUGCAACGGAGAUUGUACCAGAAACACCUCAACAAGCAAAACUGGACGACGAGCCCUCAGAGAAGUGCGAUAGUUGCCCUGAGCAUGACAUCAUCACUGCAGAGGCUCCCAAUAAGCCUGCCAUCAUUGAGGAGCUUCCCGUGGAACCAGAAAGAUAUGAAGAAGCAGAACCAAGUCCCGUACUUGCCAAAGACAGUGCUGAGGCAAUGUGGGAAGCGGCAAUCAAUGCCCUCUCUGAAGACUUCAGAGAAGAAUCUAGCAGCCUGCCUCGGGAGGCUGCAGCGGCCAAAGGCUUACCUCUGAUAGAGGAGGUGAUCACCGCGUCAACUUUUGCAGGCCUUCCAGGGGGCCAAGAAGCAAGCAUUGCUGUUGCAGAGGAGCUUUUUAAGAGGGUCACUGCAGAGGCUUUAUCAAAUGCAACUGAAACAGUAGCAGAAGACGCCACAAACACUGGUGAGGAGCCUGCAGAUGUGCCGCCGAUGGACGCCACGGGAGAGCCCGAGCUUUGCGUUUCGGUCCAAGAGAGACUCAGAGACGAGAACGUCGCCCCGGCAGAAGUACCAGCCAAUUCCAGGAGUUUGAGCCAUCUCGAGCGCCGACCAAAGUCCAGCGCGCAGAUCGUCGCCAUGGAGACAAUUGAAGACGGGGCUGUGAGACAGAUAAUGCAUGAAACAGAUACUUCUGCGGUGGAUGUCUCCCAGAUUACCACUUUGGAUGAGGCUAUGUCAGAGAGUUUCGACGCUGUCCUUGAGGCCAUUGUGGAAGAAAUCAUUAACGAGGACGUCUUCUCAGCUGACGGCCGCCUCGUGACUUCAGACGAGGUGUCACCAGAGGCCUUUGUAGAGGAAGACGCUGAAGAGGAUGCAGAGAAGGAAUCAAGUGUGAACUCAUCAGAUCCAACAGUGGACUCACAAAGUGUCACAAGAACAGACAUGGAAGCUUUAGCUGUUAGUUUGCAGUCGGCGUGUAAAUCAGUUGUUGAAGAAUCGACAAAUAGGCCUGGUAGUUUAAUGCUUCCUUCACUAGGAUACAGUAUCACGGUUACUGUUCAUGUGGCGCCAAAGCAGUAAAAUCCUUGUCUGAACUUUUUUGUUGAAAAUGAUUGGUCUGCCUCCAGGAUGUAAUGUGUUAAAUGAUUGAUGCGAAAGUAAUUACAACCCAAUUGUAAAAUUAUUUGUGUUUUAUCAUAACAAGCAAGUCCCUCUGUUUUUUUAUGCUUUAUUAACACUUGCUGAUUUUCCAAUAAAAUGAAAAAUGAAACCGUUCAUGAUUUUCUUCAUCAUCUGUUUGCAUUCCUUUGGUCGGUGUCAGGUGACAAAUAAUACCUACUUUCAAAAAAGUAGGGCCACUAAUGACUUUGAAAAACAAUGAAUUAGACAUUUGAACGUUAGCAGAUUCACUAAUGAUCUUUAAAUCAGAGUUGGUCAACGAUAACCCAGCAUCAAAACCCAGCAAAGGUAUUUGCGUUUCCUGACAUUCUUUUCUCCGGGCAAAACUCUCACACAUUGUUGAAUAUCAAUGAGUGAGGGGUGGGACACACGCAUUGAUAAAAGGCCGAUUGUUGACAGUGCCCCGAGUAGGCAGAGGCAUGGUUGGAAUUGUGUACUCCCAUCUCAAUGCUGCGAUUAAGACCCUCACUGCUUGCAUUAUAAGCCACGCUGCUCUAACGCAAUACUCAAAGGCUAAUUCUUUGUGAUGGUGUAUAGGAGACAGCUAAGCAAAAGCAAGGGUCAGAAUCAUUGACGGAGCCAGAGAGUGUGACUCUAGACUCUGACGAGGGAAACCAGGAGGACAAUAACCCAGAAGAGAAUCCAGUUAUGAACUUCUUCAAAUCUCUAACGACUUCCAAAAUAACCAAAAAGGAAACAGCUGCUCCUGUUGCCAUAAAAGACCAGUCCCAGAAGGAGAACCAACCAGCAGCAACCACUACCGUCGCACAAGUAUCUGAGCCGCCUGCAGCGCCCAAAGGAAUGUCUAUCCCACCGCCACCUCCUCCAGAGCCACCAAAAAUGGAUAUCAAGGCAGAACCAGCUGCUAAACCUGUCAAGGCCACACCAAGAGAAGAAGCAAAAGCUGUUGCCAAGCAACCCCAGUCCUCCAAAGGAAAAUCAGCAACUCUAAGCAAAUUUUUCCGUUCAAAGAAGGUGGAUUCUUCAAAAGCUGGCACUUUGGAGGCUGCAGCGAAACCAGAACCGCCGCCGCCUGUGCAGGAAGCACAGAAAACUGCCUCAACAUCCUCCUUCUUUUCUCUCUUCAAGCCUAAAGCCGCUGAUCCCAAAAAGGCGAGUCCUGCCCCGGCUGCAGCCCCAGAGACAGUGAAAGCCAAGGAGGAACCCAAAGCAGCAGCCAAGUUAUCCGAGGCCGUGGUAGAUAAUAAACCUGCUUCAGUGGCCUCCCAGGCCGCAGGUGAUGCAGCCAAGGCGCCAAAGAAACUGGAGAAGAGGAACUCCAUCCAUCAGUUCUUUAAAAUUCUGGGCCAGAAGCGUAACUCGACAGAUGCCGGGAUCCAGACAGAGACGCUCGCUGUCGCUCCGGUACCCGAGAAGGUCAAAUGAAACCAAAAGCGAGAGUGAAGUUUCCCUGUACAGACUCCUUCUCUUUUUCUUGCCCUUACUCGGUUUUCAUGUGCCUCAUCUGUCUCAUUAUUCUUUAAACUCUUAUAGAAUUGCUUUAACUACAUUUUGAUUUUGUUAUUGUUCAUAAGUUACAAUACGCACGGAAUAGUGAGCGGAAAGGCAAAGGCAAGUAGUGAGAAAGACACACAGCAGGUAGUUGCACAAGUGGUGAUUUGAAAUGGUCCAUGGUGAGGUUGUUGAGAUAUUUACAGUAUAUACAGUACAUAUUGUGUUUGGACCCUGUGCCUUGACAAGUAUAGCAAAAUCAGUGUGAAAUCUUUUCUACAGACAUUUAAUGUAACUUCUCUCUGUUCUUGCACAUGAAACAGAAGGUAAAAGGCAUCGCUUUUAGCUUUGUGUUUGUCAAAAAAAAACAUUUAAAAAAGGUUCUAUUUUUUACAGUUCACACAAAAGAAAAUCACGCAGCUGUGGCCGUGCAGAGGUUCCCACGAAAUUGCAUCGCACUUAAAUCCAUAUGUGAUAUAUUAACAUUAACAGCUCUGAAAAGAGCAAAUAAGAAGAGCAUCUUAGUGUAACAAGAAGCACUUAGCAGUCAAGUAUCUGUAUCGAGGGUGAUGGGGAACUGGCUAUAUGCGUAAAAAAAUGCAUCUGAGAGAUGUGUCUUUGUGCUACGUUUUUACUAAUGACUCACAGUUGAUUAGUUUUACAUUUGAACUUUGUCUCAUGUAACUCAGUGGAAGUCUUGUAGCGUCAGUCAGCAAUUAACAUCACGCUUUUGGUGGCCUUGCUUGAUGUAUGCAUGUGUGUGCGUGUGUGUAACUUCAGCUAUCCUGAAGACAAUAAACCUGUUUAUCAUUCGUUGUAUCUUCAUGUGUGUACGCGGCAACUGAGAAACCCCGUGAAGAAUAACCGGCUGUUGCAUUCGGCAUCUGCCAAAAUAUGCACCUCAGUAAGUUUGGCAAAAAAAAAUAAAAAAUCACACAUCAAAUCUUAUAAUAAAUAUUUUAAUUCACACUAAACUAAACUCAUAAGGCGUGACACAUGAGUCCUACCUUGGGCGUCGGUGGAAAUACUGCCAGCCUUACUCACCCAUGGGUUUAUUUUGUUGGCUGAAAAACAAGUGACGGUGAUGACGGGCAGGGCCGUACAAACCAAAACUCACCUCAGAGCCGCCCGCCGUCCGCCCGCCCGCCUGAUGGACGGAGAGCCGUCUGCGGUCCGUCACUACCAAAUAUUACAUUCAGAGACACCUUAGAGAUAAAAAGAUGUUAAACGAGAUCUAAGGAAUUGUUUCAGGUAAAGCAAAGCCUCCCAUACUCUAUUUUCAUUUAUGAGGUAAUUCCAAUGAUGGAG